rnacentral:rRNA from 1 species
UACGUAGGUGGCAAGCGUUGUCCGGAUUUACUGGGCGUAAAGAGCGCGCAGGCGGUCAGAUAAGUCGAAUGUGAAAGCCCCCGGCUCAACUGGGGAGGGUCAUUCGAUACUGUUCGACUCGAAGGCAGGAGAGGGAAGCGGAAUUCCCGGUGUAGUGGUGAAAUGCGCAGAUAUCAGGAGGAACACCGGUGGCGAAGGCGGGUCUCUGGGCAGUAACUGACGCUGAGGAGCGAAAGCGUGGGGAGCGAAACAGG